UUCGCAAUGCCCGAAAGGGUGACGAAGCGACGCCGCGUGUGGGAAGAAGGCCUUCGGGUUGUAAACCACUGUCGGGAGUUAAGAAAUGCAGGGGUGCUAAUAGUAUCCUUGCUUGACUAAGGCUCCGGAGAAAGCCACGGCUAACUCUGUGCCAGCAGCCGCGGUAAUACAGAGGCGGCAAGCGUUGUUCGGAAUUAUUGGGCGUAAAGAGCACGUAGGCGGCUAUGUAAGUCGGUUGUGAAAGCCUUCCGCUCAACGGAAGAACAGCAUCCGAUACUGCAUGGCUCGAGUGCGGGAGGGGAGAGUGGAACUUCUGGUGGAGCGGUGAAAUGCGUAGAUAUCAGAAGGAACACCGGCGGCGAAGGCGACUCUCUGGCCCGUAACUGACGCUGAGUGUGCGAAAGCUAGGGGAGCAAACGGGAUUAGAUACCCCGGUAGUCCUAGCCGUAAACGAUGGGCACUAAGUAGAGGGGUUUU
rnacentral:rRNA from 1 species